CGGCGGACGGGUGAGUAAUGCCUAGGAAUCUGCCUGGUAGUGGGGGACAACGUUUCGAAAGGAACGCUAAUACCGCAUACGUCCUACGGGAGAAAGCAGGGGACCUUCGGGCCUUGCGCUAUCAGAUGAGCCUAGGUCGGAUUAGCUAGUUGGUGAGGUAAUGGCUCACCAAGGCGACGAUCCGUAACUGGUCUGAGAGAAUGAUCAGUCACACUGGAACUGAGACACGGUCCAGACUCCUACGGGAGGCAGCAGAC
rnacentral:rRNA from 1 species